rnacentral:misc_RNA from 1 species
AACGCACAUUGCGCCCUGGGGCAUUCCCCAGGGCAUGCCUGUUCGAGCGUCAACGCACCCCUCAAGCUCUGCUUGGUGCUGGGCGCUUGUCCCGCCAUCGGCGCGGACUCGCCCCAAAGCGAUUGGCGGCCGGCCCCGAAGUCAGGAGUGCAGCAGAUUUGCACUCCCGCCUCGCGGCCUUCCCCCAGAAGCGAAUCUUUCUUGUUUGACCUCGAAUCAGGUAGGGAUACCCGCUGAACUUAA